GGGAUAGCAAAGGGGGAGCUUUUUUACUUUGAGGGGAAUGUUGUCUGGCUCGAGGUGCUGAGAUCGAGAGAACUUGAAAUUCGAUCUCUAGAUUGAUCUCGGACCAGGCUUCAUUCCCCUCAAGUAAAGCUCCCGUGUGGCCUGCGAUUCU